AGAGUUUGAUCAUGGCUCAGAUUGAACGCUGGCGGCAGGCCUAACACAUGCAAGUCGAACGGUAACAGGAAGCAGCUUGCUGCUUUGCUGACGAGUGGCGGACGGGUGAGUAAUGUCUGGGAAACUGCCUGAUGGAGGGGGAUAACUACUGGAAACGGUAGCUAAUACCGCAUAACGUCGCAAGACCAAAGAGGGGGACCUUAGGGCCUCUUGCCAUCGGAUGUGCCCAGAUGGGAUUAGCUAGUAGGUGGGGUAACGGCUCACCUAGGCGACGAUCCCUAGCUGGUCUGAGAGGAUGACCAGCCACACUGGAACUGAGACACGGUCCAGACUCCUACGGGAGGCAGCAGUGGGGAAUAUUGCACAAUGGGCGCAAGCCUGAUGCAGCCAUGCCGCGUGUAUGAAGAAGGCCUUCGGGUUGUAAAGUACUUUCAGCGGGGAGGAAGGGAGUAAAGUUAAUACCUUUGCUCAUUGACGUUACCCGCAGAAGAAGCACCGGCUAACUCCGUGCCAGCAGCCGCGGUAAUACGGAGGGUGCAAGCGUUAAUCGGAAUUACUGGGCGUAAAGCGCACGCAGGCGGUUUGUUAAGUCAGAUGUGAAAUCCCCGGGCUCAACCUGGGAACUGCAUCUGAUACUGGCAGGCUUGAGUCUCGUAGAGGGGGGUAGAAUUCCAGGUGUAGCGGUGAAAUGCGUAGAGAUCUGGAGGAAUACCGGUGGCGAAGGCGGCCCCCUGGACGAAGACUGACGCUCAGGUGCGAAAGCGUGGGGAGCAAACAGGAUUAGAUACCCUGGUAGUCCACGCCGUAAACGAUGUCGACUUGGAGGUUGUGCCCUUGAGGCGUGGCUUCCGGAGCUAACGCGUUAAGUCGACCGCCUGGGGAGUACGGCCGCAAGGUUAAAACUCAAAUGAAUUGACGGGGGCCCGCACAAGCGGUGGAGCAUGUGGUUUAAUUCGAUGCAACGCGAAGAACCUUACCUGGUCUUGACAUCCACGGAAGUUUUCAGAGAUGAGAAUGUGCCUUCGGGAACCGUGAGACAGGUGCUGCAUGGCUGUCGUCAGCUCGUGUUGUGAAAUGUUGGGUUAAGUCCCGCAACGAGCGCAACCCUUAUCCUUUGUUGCCAGCGGUCCGGCCGGGAACUCAAAGGAGACUGCCAGUGAUAAACUGGAGGAAGGUGGGGAUGACGUCAAGUCAUCAUGGCCCUUACGACCAGGGCUACACACGUGCUACAAUGGCGCAUACAAAGAGAAGCGACCUCGCGAGAGCAAGCGGACCUCAUAAAGUGCGUCGUAGUCCGGAUUGGAGUCUGCAACUCGACUCCAUGAAGUCGGAAUCGCUAGUAAUCGUGGAUCAGAAUGCCACGGUGAAUACGUUCCCGGGCCUUGUACACACCGCCCGUCACACCAUGGGAGUGGGUUGCAAAAGAAGUAGGUAGCUUAACCUUCGGGAGGGCGCUUACCACUUUGUGAUUCAUGACUGGGGUGAAGUCGUAACAAGGUAACCGUAGGGGAACCUGCGGUUGGAUCACCU
rnacentral:rRNA from 2 species